GAGAUACACUUAAUCACCUAACUUCACAGGUAAGUUCCUUGUUGAAAUCUAAUGGUAUGAUAUAUGAUGCA
rfam:Capsella rubella cultivar Monte Gargano unplaced genomic scaffold scaffold_8, whole genome shotgun sequence.